UACGUAGGCAGCGAGCGUUGUUCGGAGUUACUGGGCGUAAAGAGUAUGUAGGCGGUUACGUAAGUUUGGUGUGAAAUCUCCCGGCUUAACUGGGAGGGUGCGCCGAAAACUGCGUGGCUAGAGUGUGGGAGAGGAAAGCGGAAUUCCUGGUGUAGCGGUGAAAUGCGUAGAUAUCAGGAGGAACACCGGCGGUGUAGACGGCUUUCUGGACCAUUACUGACGCUGAGAUACGAAAGCGUGGGUAGCAAACAGG
rnacentral:rRNA from 1 species